rnacentral:rRNA from 1 species
GAUGAACGCUGGCGGCAUGCCUAACACAUGCAAGUCGAUCGGUAAGGCUCUUCGGAGUACACGAGAGGCGGACGGCUGAGUAACGCGUAGGAACACACCCUGCAGUGAGGGAUAAGACACCGAAAGGUGUUCUAAUACCGCAUACGGUCUUCGGAUUAAAGCAUUUAUGCGCUGAAGGAGUGGCCUGCGUCAUAUUAGAUAGUUGGUGAGGCAAUGGCUCACCAAGUCGAUGAUGUGUAGCUGGUCUGAGAGGAUGAUCAGCCAGACUGGAACUGAGACACGGUCCAGACUCCUACGGGAGGCAGCAGUGAGGAAUAUUGCACAAUGAGCGAAAGCUUGAUGGAGCAAUGCCGCGUGCAGGAUGAAGGCCCUCGGGUUGUAAACUGCUUUUAUAAGAGAAGAUUAUGACGGUAACUUAUGAAUAAGGGACGGCUAACUACGUG